AGACAACACUCUGGAGAGUCUCAAGUAAGAGCGCCGAAGGUGUACGGCAACAGUUAUGUUGUUAAUCUCUCAGGCAAAAGGACAGAGUAUACAAA
rfam:Firmicutes bacterium CAG:227 genomic scaffold, scf197